rnacentral:rRNA from 1 species
GACGAACGCUGGCGGCGUGCUUAACACAUGCAAGUCGAACGGAAAGGCCCUGCUUUUGUGGGGUGCUCGAGUGGCGAACGGGUGAGUAACACGUGAGUAACCUGCCCUUGACUUUGGGAUAACUUCAGGAAACUGGGGCUAAUACCGGAUAGGAGCUCCUGCUGCAUGGUGGGGGUUGGAAAGUUUCGGCGGUUGGGGAUGGACUCGCGGCUUAUCAGCUUGUUGGUGGGGUAGUGGCUUACCAAGGCUUUGACGGGUAGCCGGCCUGAGAGGGUGACCGGCCACAUGGGGACUGAGAGACGGCCCAGACUCGUACGGGAGGCAGCAGUGGGGAGUAUUGCACAAUGGGCGGAAGCCUGAUGCAGCAGCGCCGCGUGCGGGAUGACGGCCUUCGGGUUGUAAACCGCUUUCGCCUGUGACGAAGCGUGAGUGACGGUAAUGAGUAAAGAAGCACCGGCUAACUACGUG